AGCUGCUGAAGGACUGUGCAGCUAGUUUCCAAGUGAACGAGAAAUUGAUCCAACAUGUGAGACUGAUUUAAUCAAAGGGUUCAGAUGAAGUUGUGUACAACUAGAGAUCAAAGCAGAUUCAAAGAAUGAUCUGGGGCUGUCCCUGUCUGAUGUAAGAUCAAUCAGGAGUUUGACAACUGUUGAUAAAUGAAAUGGAAUGCCAUCUUUUACUUGAAUGACUGG